UACAGAGGUCCCAAGCGUUGUUCGGAUUCACUGGGCGUAAAGGGUGCGUAGGUGGCGGGGUAAGUUUGAUGUGAAAUCUCCGAGCUUAACUCGGAAACUGCAUUGAAUACUAUCCUGCUCGAGGUUUGGAAGGGGGACUGGAAUUCUCGGUGUAGCAGUGAAAUGCGUAGAUAUCGAGAGGAACACCAGUGGCGAAGGCGGCUCACUGGACCAUAACUGACGCUGAUGCACGAAAGCUAGGGGAGCAAACAGG
rnacentral:rRNA from 1 species